rnacentral:rRNA from 1 species
UACGUAGGGGGCUAGCGUUGUCCGGAAUAAUUGGGCGUAAAGAGCGUGUAGGCGGCCCGGUAAGUCCGCUGUAAAAGUCAAAGGCUCAACCUUUGAAUGUCAGUGGAUACUGCCGGGCUAGAGUCCGGAAGAGGCGAGUGGAACUCCUGGUGUAGCGGUGGAAUGCGCAGAUAUCAGGAAGAACACCAACGGCGAAGGCAGCUCGCUAGGACGGUACUGACGCUGAGACGCGAAAGCGUGGGGAGCGAACAGG